UACGUAGGGUGCAGGCGUUAAUCGGAAUUACUGGGCGUAAAGCGUGCGCAGGCGGCUCCUUAAGUCAGAUGUGAAAUCCCCGGGCUUAACCUGGGAACUACAUUUGAAACUGAGGGGCUUGAGUGUGGAAGAGGGGGGUGGAAUUCCAGGUGUAGCAGUGAAAUGCGUAGAGAUCUGGAGGAACACCGAUGGCGAAGGCAGCCCCCUGGGCUAACACUGACGCUCAUGCACGAAAGCGUGGGGAGCAAACAGG
rnacentral:rRNA from 1 species